GCGGGCGCGCCGAGGAAGGGGCAGGGGGUCCUUGGUGAGAUUUUUCGUUGUGAUUAAAAUCCUACCGCCCCGCAGGGCUUGGAUCGGCGACGAGGGGAGGCCACCGGAGCCGGGCGCGUACGCCGGGCAGGAUAGAAGAGGGCUUCUACAGGCAGCGGAGCCAGGUCCAGGCAGAGGAUGCAGCAUGCUCACCCAGCAACAGGCUGUCUCCAUCUCCCACCGCUGUGUCCCAUCUGUGCCCGGGCAGUGCCUAGACCAUCCUCUUCGUUCAGGUCUGCCACUUGACACCUGCCUGCAUCUCUCCAAAUCCUCAGAACCAGCUGGCUUGGUUUGGCCAAGAAUCACCCAACUAAUGUCCAUUUUCUUGAGAGUUCUUGCAGGGAUACAUGGCUUGCAAAUAUAUCCCGA